rnacentral:rRNA from 1 species
AUUGAACGCUGGCGGCAGGCCUAACACAUGCAAGUCGAACGAGUGGCGGACGGGUGAGUAAUGUCUGGUCAACUGCCCGAUGGAAGGGGAUAACUACUGGAAAAGGUAGCUAAUUCCCCCUACCAUCGGUAGAGCCCAGAUGUGAUUGGCUAGUAGGUGGGGUAAAGGCUCACCGAGGCGACGAUCCCUAGCUGGUCUGAGAGGAUGAACGGCCACACUGGAACUGAGACACGGCCCAGACUCCUACGGGAGGCAGCAGUGGGGAAUCUUGCGCAAUGGGCGCAAGCCUGACGGAGCAAUGCCGCGUGAGUGAAGACGGCCUUCGGGUUGUAAAGCACUUUAAGUGGGGAGGCGUUACCCGCAGAAGAAGCACCGGCUAACUCCGUGCCAGCAGCCGCGGUAAUAC